GCCUUUGAAUUGCUUAACUUGGAUCAAACGUUUUGAGUAGCCUUCCACAAGCUUCCCACAAUAAGGGGUGAAUUUUGUCCCAUUCCUCCUGACAGAGCUGGUGUGACCGAGUCAGGUUUGUAGGCCUCCUUGCUCGCACACGGUUUUUCAGUUCGGCCCACAACUUUCCAAUGGGAUUGAGGUCAGAGCUUUGUGAUGGCCACUCCAAUACCUUGACUUUGUUGUCCUUAAGGCAUUUUGCCACAACUUUGGAAGUAUGCUUGGACUCAUUGUCCAUUUCGAAGACCCAUUUGCGACCAAGCUUUAACUUCCUGACUGAUGUCUUGAGAUGUUGCUUUAAUAUAUCCACAUAAUUUUCCUCCUCAUGAUACCAUCUAUUUUGUGAAGGGCACCAGUCCCUCCUGCAGCAAAGCACCAGCCACAACACGAUGCUGCCACCCCCGUGCUUCACGGUUGGGAUGGUGUUCUUCAGCUUGCAAGCCUCCCCCUUUUUCCUCCGAACAUAACGAUGGUCAUAAUGGCCAAACAGUUCUAUUUUUGUUUCAUCAGACCAGAGGACAUUUCUCCAAAAAGUACGAUCUUUGUCCCCAUGUGCAGUUGCAAACCGUAGUCUGUCUUUUUUAUGGCGGUUUUGAGCGGUGGCUUCUUCCUUGCUGAGCGGCCUUUCAGGUUAUCUAGAUAUAGGACUCGUUUUACUGUGGAUAUAGAUACUUUUGUACCUGUUUCCUCCAGCAUCUUCACAAGGUCCUUUGCUUUUGUUCUGGGAUUGAUUUGCACUUUUCGCACCAAAGUGCGUUCAUCUCUAGGAGACAGAAAGCGUCUCCUUCCUGAGCGGUAUAACGGCUGCGUGGUCCCAUGGUGUUUAUACUUGCUUACUAUUGUUUGAAAAUUGCUCCCAAGCAAAGAGGCACUGAGUUUGAAGGUAGGCCUUGAAAUACAUCCACAGGUACACCUCCAAUUGACUCAAAUUAUGUCAAUUAGCCUAUCAGAAGCUUCUAAAGCCAAGACAUCAUUUUCUGGAAUUUUCCAAGCUGUUGAAAGGCACAGUCAACUUAGUGUAUGUAAACUUCUGACCCACUGAAAUUGUGAUACCGUGAAUUAUAAGUGAAAUAAUCUGUCUGUAAACAAUUGUUGGAAAGAUUACUUGUGUCAUGCACAAAGUAGAUGUGCCUAUCGUUGGCAAUGAGAAAUGGUAGGACUGCGACUUCUGAGUAGAAAUAUGCGAGCUCAAUCAUAUUAUUUUCUGCACCAGGGCGCUUUGGGUUGAGCACCGAGAAUACUCGUGCCAUAUCUCUAAAGUCGGUAAAUCGAUUCUCAAACUGCCCCAUAAAAACAUGAAGUAUGUAAUGGUAUACAUCAACUUUAAGUGCCUUCUGCUUUCCUGAAUUGGCUCGUCCUCUGCUCCCUCCUCAUGAAACCUUUCCCUCUUGGCGCCCUCUCCUCUGCAAACUCAGUUGUUGCAUUGUUUUGUUGGGCCAUCGAGUUCGCACUGUUCUCCAUCUUGUCAUAGGGCUAAUCUGUGCGCAUCUGUCAGAUCUCAGCCAGAUGUCAAUUAGAUCCACGGCAUCUCUCAAAUUAUUUUCAAGGGCUUCAAGGAUCGCGGGCAGGCUCUGUAUAACCGCUUCUGUGGCCUGUUUCCUGGAGGACCACCUUGUGGCUGAUAGGCUUUUCAGCCUGAGAACGGCUCUCUCCAGCUGCAUGCUUUCCUGUUCCUCCUCAAAUAUUUGAAUUCUUGGGAGGCUAGAAGUCAAAAAGCAGUGUACCCCAAAAAUCUUUUGCGCUAUUCAAGGAACAUGCAGCGUCCAUUAGAACGAAUUUGAUAUUGUGUGCACAGAAAUGCACGUAGAACUCAUCAUCAAGCUUUGAUUAUUUGAAACAGCUGUGUAGUACUAAGGGAAAAAACUAAACGUGCACCACUUGAGUUUCCCAGGACCAAGUCUGGGAAAUGCUGCCAUAACUUAAAUGAAUGAGUGAUUUUUCUUUUUGAAAGUUUUAAAAUAAAGAUCUCCAAUAUUUUACUGUCAAUAAUGCUUGUUUCUAAAUGGGUAUAGUGUGAUGACAGGGAAAAAAUGAAUAAUCUUGUGAUAUCUAGCUAUAUAAUAUAGUAGGCUAAUUAGCGGAGAGGCAGGUAAAACUGCAUACAGGCUGCAUACAAGCUCCUCUAUAAAACAAAGUGGGAUAUCACAAGCCCGGAUUCAACACAAAAGGCGGGGGCAUAGGCAUGGGUGGGCCUGGGUGGACACAGGGCCACCCAAUCAGACUGAUCAAAAAACAACAACAAAAAUACAUAAUUAUUUUUAAAAUACUCCUCAG
rnacentral:lncRNA from 1 species